rnacentral:rRNA from 1 species
AACGAACGCUGGCGGCAUGCCUAAUACAUGCAAGUCGAACGAGACCUUCGGGUCUAGUGGCGCACGGGUGCGUCACGCGUGGGAACCUGCCCUUAGGUUCGGCCUAACUCUACGACAGGGGUGCUAUUACCGGAUAAUGUCUUCGGCCCAAAGAUUUAUCGCCUUUGGAUGGGCACGCGUUGGAUUAGCUUGUUGGUAGGGUAAAAGACUACCAAGGGGACGAUCCAUAGCUGGUCUGAGAGGAUGAUCAGCCACACUGGGACUGAGACACGGCCCAGACUCCUACGGGAGGCAGCAGUGGGGAAUAUUGGACAAUGGGCUGAAGCCUGAUCCAGCAAUGCCGCGUGAGUGAUGAAGGCCUGAGGGUUGUAAAGCGCUUUUACCCGGGAUGAUAAUGACAGUACCGGGAGAAAAAGCUCCGGCUAACUCCGUG